rnacentral:rRNA from 1 species
UACGGAGGGGGCUAGCGUUGUUCGGAAUUACUGGGCGUAAAGCGCACGUAGGCGGACUGUUUAGUCGGGGGUGGAAUCCCGGGGCUCAACCCCGGAACGGCCUCCGAUACUGGCAGUCUGGAGUUCGGGAGAGGCGAGUGGAAUUCCGAGUGUAGAGGUGAAAUUCGUAGAUAUUCGGAGGAACACCAGUGGCGAAGGCGGCUCGCUGGCCCGAUACUGACGCUGAGGUGCGAAAGCGUGGGGAGCAAACAGG